rnacentral:lncRNA from 1 species
AAACGUGAGGAGAUGAGACCGGUUAAUGCUUCGACUGGCUCUGCUGUGUCUCAAUCUCCGCUGGAGAUGAUGCCUGGUUUGUACUCUUCAGGUGUUGCGACACGUCCUGUCUCUCCGAUGAGUAGUAGUGUUGGUUCCUCUCCGAGAAACGGAGGGUCGUGGCAGAACAGAGUUAACUCUCUGUCUCCACCUGCUCUGCAUCUCAAUGGUGGAAGUAGAUUGAAGUCUACAUUGAGUGCUAGAGACAUGGAUAUGGAGAUGGAGUUGGAGAUGAGACUUAGAGGUUUCAACAAUGUUGAAGAGACUUUUGGGUCUUAUGUCUCCUCCCCAAGUAGGAACUCUCAGAUGAGCCACCAGCAUUACCCUUCUUCACCGGUAAGGCAGCAACAGCCUCCUCCUUCUCACCACUUCGACUCUUCAGCAGCUGUGGCAGCUGCAGUGAUGAACGCAAGAUCAUCUGCGUUUGCGAAACGCAGUUUGAGUUUCAAACCUCAAGUAGCAUCAUCGCCGUCGAAUCUUUCGGAUUGGGGAUCACCGAGUGGGAAGCUGGACUGGGGAGUGCAAGGAGAUGAGUUGAGUAAGAUGAGAAGAAGUGUUUCAUUUGGAAUCCAUGGAGACAACAACGGUAACAAUGCAGGGAGAGAUUAUAGGAACGAGCCAGAUGUUUCUUGGGUUAACUCUUUGGUUAAAGAC